AAGUCGAACGGGAUCCAUCAAGCUUGCUUGGUGGUGAGAGUGGCGAACGGGUGAGUAAUGCGUGACCGACCUGCCCCAUACACCGGAAUAGCUCCUGGAAACGGGUGGUAAUGCCGGAUGCUCCGACUCCUCGCAUGGGGUGUCGGGAAAGAUUUCAUCGGUAUGGGAUGGGGUCGCGUCCUAUCAGGUAGUCGGCGGGGUAACGGCCCACCAAGCCGACGAUCGGUAGCCGACCUGAGAGGGUGAACGGCCACAUUGGGACUGAGACACGGCCCAAACUCC
rnacentral:rRNA from 1 species